AGAGUUUGAUCAUGGCUCAGAUUGAACGCUGGCGGCAGGCCUAACACAUGCAAGUCGAACGGUAGCACAGAGAGCUUGCUCUCGGGUGACGAGUGGCGGACGGGUGAGUAAUGUCUGGGAAACUGCCUGAUGGAGGGGGAUAACUACUGGAAACGGUAGCUAAUACCGCAUAACGUCGCAAGACCAAAGAGGGGGACCUUCGGGCCUCUUGCCAUCGGAUGUGCCCAGAUGGGAUUAGCUAGUAGGUGGGGUAAUGGCUCACCUAGGCGACGAUCCCUAGCUGGUCUGAGAGGAUGACCAGCCACACUGGAACUGAGACACGGUCCAGACUCCUACGGGAGGCAGCAGUGGGGAAUAUUGGACAAUGGGCGCAAGCCUGAUCCAGCCAUACCGCGUGGGUGAAGAAGGCCUUCGGGUUGUAAAGCCCUUUUGUUGGGAAAGAAAUCCAGCCGGCUAAUACCUGGUUGGGAUGACGGUACCCAAAGAAUAAGCACCGGCUAACUUCGUGCCAGCAGCCGCGGUAAUACGAAGGGUGCAAGCGUUACUCGGAAUUACUGGGCGUAAAGCGUGCGUAGGUGGUCGUUUAAGUCCGUUGUGAAAGCCCUGGGCUCAACCUGGGAACUGCAGUGGAUACUGGAUGACUAGAAUGUGGUAGAGGGUAGCGGAAUUCCUGGUGUAGCAGUGAAAUGCGUAGAGAUCAGGAGGAACAUCCAUGGCGAAGGCAGCUACCUGGACCAACAUUGACACUGAGGCACGAAAGCGUGGGGAGCAAACAGGAUUAGAUACCCUGGUAGUCCACGCCCUAAACGAUGUCAACUAGUUGUUGGGGAUUCAUUUCCUUAGUAACGUAGCUAACGCGUGAAGUUGACCGCCUGGGGAGUACGGUCGCAAGAUUAAAACUCAAAGGAAUUGACGGGGACCCGCACAAGCGGUGGAUGAUGUGGAUUAAUUCGAUGCAACGCGAAAAACCUUACCUACCCUUGACAUGGUCGGAAUCCUGCUGAGAGGCGGGAGUGCUCGAAAGAGAACCGGCGCACAGGUGCUGCAUGGCUGUCGUCAGCUCGUGUCGUGAGAUGUUGGGUUAAGUCCCGCAACGAGCGCAACCCUUGUUCACUGUUGCCAGCACGUUAUGGUGGGGACUCAGUGGAGACCGCCGGGGUCAACUCGGAGGAAGGUGGGGAUGACGUCAAGUCAUCAUGCCCCUUAUGUCCAGGGCUUCACGCAUGCUACAAUGGCUGGUACAGAGAGUGGCGAGCCUGUGAGGGUGAGCGAAUCUCGGAAAGCCGGUCUCAGUUCGGAUUGGGGUCUGCAACUCGACCUCAUGAAGUCGGAGUCGCUAGUAAUCGCAGAUCAGCAACGCUGCGGUGAAUACGUUCCCGGGGCUUGUACACACCGCCCGUCAAGUCAUGAAAGUUGGUAACACCCGAAGCCGGUGGCCUAACCGUUGUGGGGGAGCCGUCGAAGGUGGGACUGGUGAUUAGGACUAAGUCGUAACAAGGUAGCCGUACCGGAAGGUGCGGCUG
rnacentral:rRNA from 1 species